rnacentral:lncRNA from 1 species
CGACUGCUCCCUGGUGGACAAAAGUUAUACAAUAACAAAAUUCCACUUGGAUUGUAAACUUCCUCAAUCCACAGAAACCACUGUAAACACUGUAGCGAGUUGCUAUCAGUUGCGUAAAUACUUAAAUAGGUUUUUAUUGGCACAGAUAAACUGGUCUCUGGUCACAUUUCUGAUUGUGUGGAAGAGCUGCUUCUCUGAGAGUGAAGAGGAACGCAGUCUGUCAUGGACACACAGCAAGGAACUCAAAGACUCCCUCGUUGAUAUGUACAAAGCUAAUCCUAAAGUCAAUGAGGAGCUGAAACAAAGACUGCCCUCCCCAGUAAGGCACCAACGCUCAGAGACCACGCUGCCACAACUUGGAAGUGCUGACUUGGGAGCCAUUUUGGGCACAACAUCAAAUCAACUUGUACUAGAGGAACCUGACAAAGACUGGCCACAAGUCCCCCAGUAUUUUAGACCCAUAGAGGAAGAGAGUCGGACAUCCAGAUCUCCAUCACCCCAGGCCCACCACAGGAGAUCUCCAUCACCUCAGGCCCACCACAGGGCUCCAGACACAGGCAGGAGGAUGGAGGAGGAGAGGACCUCCAGCCGGAGCCCAUUCACCCAGGACGGCUACAGGUCAGAGGGUCACAGCCAGGGGUCGAACGGCAGUCCUCCAGUCUACAGAAGACACCUCGUCCCUCCAGACUCCAGCCAAGCUCUCCAAUCAAGUAUAAAAGAAGACCAAGGAAACAUUAAAGUUAGCAGUAGUUCCUUUGACUCCAAAAAGCAAAGCCUCGUCCUUGACAAAGAGAAGAAUAUUGCCUUCCUGCUGAAGGAGCUGGAUUCACUCAGAGAGCUCAAUAAGAAGGUAGGUUGAAAUGUUAAAGGAAUCUUGCCCUGCUAGAUACAGGUCCUAGCAAAAAUACAUGGCAUUUGUGGUUCCAGCUUUUUUUUUCACUCAAAUGUCCUUUGUCGUAACUUGUCCUCUUCCUCUUUAAAUAGAUGAUUGUGUUGUGUCUGUCACAGCUGCCAACUAUUGAGUGUCCACCUCUCUUGUCCACCUCUAUCUUACCUGCCAUGUCCAAAGCAUAUGACUAGCUGGUUAUCCUGUCCUGUCCUGUGUUUGGUCUGGAGCAUGCCCAGUGUCCCUCUGUGCACAGGCUGCCUUCUUGCAAAUGAGCGCCUGUUAGAGAGGGUGUAGCCACAGAGAGGCCCUCUGAAAUGGCUAUAAUUGAUGCCUCUGGUUUGCAAGUAGCUGUGAC